CGUCUGGCGGGCACAGUGGCCUGCAGAGACUCAAGGUAUGGAGGGCAGAGCCAGGGAGGGGUGAGCAUGUCUUGGGACCGGACAGCCAGGCGUCUGGCACCGCCAUCACCGCUAUCGCUGCUCCUGGUGCUGGUGCUGCUGUCACGAGCCGGGACUCUGCAUCCUGAAUAGCUCUUUCCUUACGGGGAGUCGUGGGGAGACCGGCUGCUGCAGGAGGGCGACGUUGAAAGCUCCGCGGCUGUGAAGCUAGCAGUACGUAGAAGUAGCUUCUAUGGUGUCCAGUUCAGCAACCUCUACGUGAGCACCAAUGGGAUCAUCUCCACCCAGGACUUACCCAGGGAGACUUAAUAUGUCGUUGAUGAUUUUCCUACUGACUUCCCAGCCAUCGCCCCAUUCCUGGCUGACAUCCACUCGAGUCACAGCAGUGGCCGGAUCCUGUAUGGAGGACACCUCCUGGGCUGUGCUGAGUCUGGCUGCUUGCUACCUGUGCACAGGCUUCCCCCCUACCCACUUCUUCCUGGCCACCUGGGAGCAAGUGGGCGCCUAGGAGGAGGACAGGCUUGGUUGGGGCUGAGUGGUCUGGAGAGGAUAUGGAGACUUCGAUGGUUUUAAUCUGGAGGAUGCGCUGAAAGAAACUUCCUCAGUAAAGCGUGACUCAAACAAACAAGUCCACCAAGCAAACACAAGUGGUCGGCCAUGCACCACACUGACAAUCUUGCCUUCAGAAAAGUACACGCAUAUGAGACUAGCUGUGCCUCCAUCUACCUGUUUGUUCUGUUGUGCAAGGCUUGUGUCUUCUCGUCAUACGUGUGUCAUCUUCCUUUUACAUUUAGAAAAUUUCACAAUUUUCAUUAUGUUGAAACCACAAGAGAACAUGCAUCUGCCUUCGCCUUUUUUCUGCUGUACAAAAAGAGAACUCCGACCCGUUUCAUUCCUCUCACUGUUUUGUUUUGAGACAGGGUCUCUUGAUUUAGCCCGAGUUGUCCUGAAAUUCUCUGUGCCGAGAAGCCCGGCUUUGACUUGGGUCCAGUGCUAGAGCAACAGUGACUCUUGGCCACUGAUGUGCAUUUCUAGCUUCAGAACCCAUGACUUUUUAUGAUUCUUCAGUGU
rnacentral:lncRNA from 1 species